UCUUUGAACACAUCGAAUGCCGUUUCCCCAGCAGCAGCACUGACAUUUGGGAAGUUUUACCCAAAAAGGUGCCCGGGUGCGCGAUCCAGAUGGAGUACCUGGUGAAUGAUUUCUUUGCUCACACUACCUCCUGGAAUUCCCUUGAGGAUACAGAGAGGAAACCGGAUCGGUACAAGGAGAGCACCAAAGUCUGUCUCGGGGAUGCCGAGAAAGGAGAAGACUUUGAGAUCGUCUACGAUUGGGAUGAGGAAGUGGUGAGAGACAAUAUUGGAACCUUCAUACAGGCGAUCAUCAAGCGCCUGAAGGCCGAGAAACAUAAACUUCCUAAGCUCCUGUUCGCCUUCCACACCUCGUUUCGCUAUCACGUCCCCCCUCCCGCCGGCAUCCAUCGCCAAGGCUGAAAAGCGCCUCCAGGCCAUCGAGUUCUUCGAAGACAGAUACAAAGAACUGAGAGGAAAAAGCAAAUACUUUCCGUCUCCGAAGGAAAUGUGUCUCAGGACCACUGACGGCACCUUGUGGAUCUGGUUGGUCCCGCUGCUCUACGCGAUCAAGGAGAAGACAGAGGACCCCUUUCUCCCACGCGAACCUCCUUCACAAGCCUUCAUACAGCUGAGGAGGGACGAAGAGAAGCAAAGGAAAGUCCUGAAGAUGAUGGACACGCACAAGACCUUGAUUAGAAGAUGUGCUCCGCUGGCAAAGAAGGUGGUGGAGAUGGUGGCCUUGAGGAACUUCGCCAAGGACCCUUUGCCUGACAUUUGGCUUCCACUCCAGCUCCUCUUGGACACCUUGUACAGGCGCAGCUUGCGCAUCAGUACAGCCUCAUCCCAAGAAGACGAUUUGAACAUGGCUUUGGAAAUCAUCGCCACCAGGAUGGACUCCU